UUGGUGAAGGGUUCAAUUUAACGAGUGAUUUUAGGUUGAAAUUUGCCAAAGGGACUCAAAGGUUGGUAGUGGGGGAUGAGUUUAACAACAGAGACAUUCUCAUUCCUAUUGGCCCCACCAUUCCUACUUUCCUCUCGAUAUUCGUUGUGAUAAAAGGGAUCGACUUCGCUUCAAGUCCGAUGUUCUUGAAUUCAACCAGGAGCCUUUUACGAUCCCACUUGUCUCUGCAAAUUCUGCAACUUCAAUGCCUUCAACUUCGUCUCCUCUACUUCCAAACGCCUCUUCCGUGUCCUUGAAGGGCCCAUUAUUACAACAAAAGGGAACUUAGAGGCAAGGCCAUGGGUAGCAUCAUUGGCUUUUUUUAGAAAACAACAGAAAAGCAGCAAGCAAAAAAGAGCAAGACAGAUUGUUUAUGUCUUCAAUGAUGGAGGAAAUGACCCAAUGUGGAGUGAUUAAAUAUCAAUGUAAUCUUUACUGAAGGGGACUUUCAAAAUGUGAUUGGUCUUCAGCAACCUACACACUGUCGGCCAGAUUUUCUUAUAACCCCCUUUAUGCCAAGCGUUUUAGCUUAUAACUACUCUAAAUUUUCUAAUUUUUAGGAUUUUUAUUUUGUUUUGUUUUAUUUUUAGUACGGUUAGAAUAUGUACACCAAGAGUGCAGGUAUUAGAAUUUUUGUUUUGUCAACAGAAACUUUAAAUUUUGGUCCACAACUUAAUGUACUUGUGAAAAAUUCUUCGAUACUCCCGAAGUAUGGAGAAAUGAUACUUCCUCCUCUCACAUUCAUGGUGAACCCUACUAUGAAUUUAAUGAGUGAGUCUCACUAUGAAUAUGAGAAGAGAAAGCAUCAUUCUCUGUACUCCGAGAGUACUUAAGAAUUACUCCUUACUUGUUAGGCAACUUAUUGUAAGUGGCCAUAAACAAUUUUUCCCUUUCUGUUAGGGUCAGUUUCCUGGGCCGGGUGCUAGAGAUAGGUUUGGUAGGUCCUCCUUUUGCCUUGAUUAAUAUAAUUAUUUUGUGUGUAAUCGUGAUUAUUGUUUUUUAUUUUUAAGA